rnacentral:rRNA from 1 species
GCCAGGAUUACAAAGGCACCAAGAUACAGACGACAUGCAAAGCAAAGCGAAAAGGAAGAUACAAGGAACUUGGUGGAACAACACAAUGGCAACAGCAGAAACACUGAAGUCGACGCCCAGCACUACGCCUACACCAACAAGCCAACUAAGAACACAGAAGGAGGGCCACACCGAGCAAGCAUCGGGCGCCGGCUGCAUCCACAGGCCAAACAUGGGCAACACUUGAGCUGUCUCCACCGUCGCAAAGGGCCACUACCCUUUCUCCCAGGCUUGGUGAGUGCCGCACCGGCGAACAGCAGAGUGGCUACCACAAAGCCCAACUCAAGGUUUCCAGCUGCCGUAGGAGAAGCAGACGGAGCUGACCAGCGAACCACAAAGGACCAACCAGAUGAGCACCAAGCCGGCAGUGGCAGCACGGAGCAUGGGACGCAAGUUGUCGAACGAAGGCGCACACCGAUGGAGAAGACCAAAGAAGGCAUCACAAAGCACCGGGCGAAGCCGAGCAUGAAGUCGCAGGAAGACCAGGCCGUCAUGCUUCGGAGCCAAGCCACCAGUCGCUCCACCCCCAAGAGCACAUCCUGGUCGCCGCCUUCAAGAAGAGCACAUCCUGGUCGCCGCCUUCAAGAAGGAUCACAGCAUCAAGGUGUCGUCGAUGCCCAGAUCAGGGGAGAGCCGACUUUAGCCGGAGCUCAGGGGGGAGGCGGAUGGGAGAGGAGCCACCCAAAAGCCUCCAAGAAGGGGAUCGGCGCCAAAGGCGUCGACUUUGGGGGGCCGCCGCGCCGGCCAGGGGUUUCCCCCGGAUCCUCGCCCAAACGCCAGAUCCGGCCAGCAAUCACCAAGAAACGCCGACCGCAACCGCCGGGGACCAGCGCCGGCACGGAUCAGAGCAGAUCGGGCGGCGUCGAAGCUUCUCCAUGGUGGACCAGCGGCCAGCGAGGCGCCACCGCAACACCAACGUCCGCGACCACCACCUG